ACGAACGCUGGCGGCAUGCCUAAUACAUGCAAGUCGAGCGGACUUGAAGAGAAGCUUGCUUCUCUGAUAGUUAGCGGCGGACGGGUGAGUAACACGUAGGCAACCUGCCCUCAAGUUUGGGACAACUACCGGAAACGGUAGCUAAUACCGAAUAAUUGUUUUCUUCGCCUGAAGAGAACUGGAAAGACGGAGCAAUCUGUCACUUGGGGAUGGGCCUGCGGCGCAUUAGCUAGUUGGUGAGGUAACGGCUCACCAAGGCGACGAUGCGUAGCCG
rnacentral:rRNA from 1 species